UUUAUUUUGUAACUUUUGCAUUUCCCGACCCUAAUGCUCUCGCCGCGCUCCCCUGCGGGACGUACGCGGAGACGCAAGGAGCAGGGGUGUGUUUUAAAUCGGGCAGGCCGGGGCAGGAGCUCCCCGUGUCGCCGUGGAGGCGACACCGACGCCGCCCCUCUUUCUCCGUCCCUCCCUCCCUCUCAGGGCUCCGUCCCGGCGGCAGCAUCCACAGCCCCCCAGCCGGGCGCAGGCUGGGACUUGCCGAGCGGCCGCGCUGCAGGGCCGGGGCUGGGCGGGAAGGGCGCUGUCCCCGCUGUCUCUGGGGGCCACGCGGCAGGACCGAGGCCGGCAGGGCGGGCGCUCUCGGUCGUACAGCAGAGUCACCCACCGUCCCCUGCCCUGCCCUGCACUACAGUACCCAUCAGGCCGCGGCCCCGCCAGGCACGCCCCCGGCCGUCCCGGCGCAUGACUGGCUGUUCCCCCGCCGGCGGCGGGCGCUCCGCUUCUUCCACGGGCCCGCGGACCUGUCCCUCAGCGCGGGGUGUGGAGGGGCGGUGGCAGCACGGGCGCGGUUGCGGCGGAGUCCGGAGGCGGCGCUGACAGGACGGCGCGCGGAGGCGCUGCGGGCCGCGGCUGCAGCCCCCGGCCCGGAGCAGCCCGGCUGCGCUGAGCCCGGCCCGGCCCGGCCCGGCCCGGAACAGCCCGGCUGCGCUGAGCCCGGCCCGGCCCGGAAUAGCCCGGCCCGGCCCGGCCCGAGGAAGAAGCAGAAGUUUUAACCAUCUUCCCAUGGCAUCUGACUUUUUUGAAGAGGAGGACUUUUCAACCACUUGAUGGAAGGGAAAUAAGAAGUUCAUUUCAAGACUUAUGUCGUUCAUCAGUGCUGUUAACAAACGUGGGGCUUGAGGAUACAUUUGCUGCUUCUCUGCAUUUUUGCUGAAGGAAGGACCUUGCUGUCUCCCAGCUCCUGUGGGCAUUAGGUUUCAUGAAUGUCUCUGGGGAAGAGGACAGCUCUGUAGAGCCUAAGUUUCAAAAAUCGAACCCGAGAGAGAAACAGUGAGAUGCACAGUGGGGAAAAUGAACCCAGCAGUCCAUCCUAUCCUGUACCUGCCUGAAUAUGGAAAGAGACCUAGUACAAAGCCAGAAUGCAGCUGGGCUUGCAAUAUUUUUAACCAUAUUAAGUCCUGUUCAGAGUUAAUGAUGAGCUCAGUGAGAUGGUCUCAGCAAUGUUGAAGAAGGGAAGGACAGAACUGGAAGGCAGGAGCUGUUUCAAAGCAGGAUUCUUCACCUUUCUGUAAUGCCCAAACAUGAAGACUUUAUAAACUUCAUUAGGACCAUAUGCUCUGUCCUCGGCAUGAAAAUGAUGCAAGUUGCAAACUGAAAGGCAGCUCUGUUCCUGUAGGGAUGAAUCCCUCACUUCCCGUUGUCACGUCAGUGGAUGUACAGCUGCACUGCAGUAGAGAAGAUCCUGCCAUCAAUGACUGAGCCUCCCUGAAAUCUUCUUAUCAGUUACUGCCAAGAUGAGAAGGAUAACAGGAAGGAGGAGUGCUUAAGUGGCUUUAAUGACAGUUAAUUUCUUCUAUUUAUCAAAUGACAGGUUGUUUUCUCCUCAAAACUUGAUUAUCAUGACAAGAGGCUUUUGGAAGUCAUCUUUGUAAAAUAAAACUGACAAUUUUUAGGCUACAAAGAGCUGUUGUAUCUUUCUAUUGAAUGUUGUCAUGGUAAACUGCUGGAAAGUCUUUAUUUUUGAAGUAAUUUAACUUGCAUACUUCAUUCAUUUAUUUUAAUAUCUGUUGAAUGCCAUGUGAAAAGUUUCUUGCCAGAAUUCUUUUAUUCAAUGGAAUAGUUAUUGUUACAAAGCUCAAUUUAUUAAUGUCUGAAUUACUGUUGCUCUAGCCUCCUGCAAAAAUGUUUCUUUUUAGUAAUUCUUAAACAAAUAAGGAAUUAAUUAGGUUUUCUCCCCUUUGUGUUUUGAUCAGCAUAUUUUCCCUUUCAGUGAAAGUGUCUUCAGUUUUUGGAAUGACACAACACAAAGAAAGGUGUUUUGGUUUUUGGGUUUUUUUUUCCCAACAGCACAUGUCUUUUGUGCAAUGAUUUUUUAAUAUGUACACUGCCAUGAUACAAUUACUGGAAGGAGAGAGAGAAGCUGUUGGGAAUGUCAUGUUAUGCCAAAUUAAGAAUUAUUAGCUCUUACUUUCUGUGCAAUCUCUUCGACUAGAACUCGACCUAUUGCGUCUGGCGUAUACUUUGACUCUAGUGGAACUAAUGUGUCCUUGGAGUAGCAUUUCAGAGUAACUUCAGAUUCAUGCUUUUUUCACAAGUCUGCUUUAAACUGCUGGGAUUAACUUCAGAGAAGGCGAGAGAUACAGGCUCCUUUGUCAGCAGCUGUGCUGGUUAAAGAAGGAGGCUUCAUGCACGCUUGCUUGCUCAUUCUCUCCCUGCUAAGGAAGCAAACUGAACUGUUUCCCUGAGCACACGCAGACUGACUUCAGCCAAAGUUAAUCGUGUUAUCAAAUAUUAGUUAUCCAGUGCCCUGGGUCACUUUGAUGAAAGGACAGGGCAUACACAGACCAGCUGUGCAGACGUCAUGUCUGGGAAGGGUGGUGUGUUGACAGGAGUGUUGCUGAGGACUGGCCCUGGUGUGUCGCCUGUUCAGCAGGUGCAGUUACAUCCCUUGGAUGUGGUAAAAAUUGGACGUGUUAGAAAGCUGUGCAGAUCUGUCAUGCAUAAUAUUCACAUUCCAGGGACACCCUGGAUAAUGCAAAAUAAACUUGUGCUCUUUGACUUA